AUCAAUCUCAUCACACUGAAUCUUGAUCCAGCCACGGGGAGAGUGUGUUGUCUCUGGCAGAGUGUUACGUGAAAAAUCUAAUGGCUUGCAGAAUUUAAGAAAGGACCGGAGUGGUGAAGCAAAAUGACAUAAUAAGGACAUUAUCCAGAGAGAGAGAGAGAAAGAGAGAGAGAGAGAGAGACAUGUUAAUAUCACUCAGAGCAGGAAGACACACACACGGCUAAGAUUAAAAGCGGCAGAUGAUAUCUUAAUAGCGUUCUGUAGGAAGACACACACACUGGGGCACAAAUAAAUAAAUAAAUAAAUAAAUGAAACAGAGAGAGAGAGAGAGAGAGAGAGAGAAAAUAUUAAGACAAACCAGAAUGCAUAAUUAUCUGCUUAAAUAUCAUUAAACGAGUGCUUCAAAAAUUCUGACACACGUAAACAACAGGCCUGUGUAGUAAAUCUAUGUAUAUCGUAUAUAAAAGUUACCUUUUAUAUUUUAGAUAGAACUGACCAGCUGUGUUCUGAAUUGGGGGGGGGGUCAUUUCAGGGCCUUAAAAAUGCAAAUAGGAACUUGAAAUGAAAUGCAAAUCCUUGAAAAUUCAUGUUAAUAGCGCAACCUUUUUUUCUCUCUCUCUCUAUAAAAGGUGUGUUGGUAAUUAUAAUCAGCAUUACACAUCUACAAAAACUUUUAAACUUUACAAAUUGCACCUUUAAAGAGUGUUCAUAAAAACAGAAGCAGACACUGGGAGAUCACUCAACCUCUCAGACACUUCCGAGUCUCGACUGCAAGAGUACUAGACUGAUAUUUAAAAAAAUUAAAAAUAAAUAAAAAAUAAAAAUAAUAAAAGAUGCAGCUCGAGCUCAUGUCUUUUUUCUCUGCUGCUCAUACAAGAAAGGAAGAAACUUGCCUCUAUGCUCAGUUUUGCCGCCAGCCUGUAAUGCUCCUUAUUAAGUCGAUCCGACCGUUAAACUUUCCCAAAAGGCAAAGCGGUCCAGGUUGUAACUGAGGAGAUCGCAUGCCCCGAUUAGAAUUCAGAGGUAAACUCUUGAUGUGUGAAUAAAGACGAGCUCGCCUGCGAAGUGACGGGCAGGAGUGUGUAAGCGAACCUAGCUCAAACCUGAUAACACACACUUUACAGAGGGUGAGAUUAUCUCUGCCGAGGACGUGCAGGGAGUCGUAAAGUCUCAGUGAUUUGCACAUUUCUCUACAAAACAAAAAGGUACAGAAAGGGUGUGGCCAGAACAGGUGGGCCUAGCUCUUAGAAAAGAGAUGCAAGUGUGAUGAAGAGCAGCAAUGUGCAGCAGGUUAGUGUUUAACGCUAGCAGGGAUGGAUUAUACUCCGUACACACAUACUGCAUAGUAGGAAAUUCAACACACAAUACUGUUAUUGAUAUGGUGAUAAUGUGACACAUUUCACUCAACCACCCCCACACUCCUUAAUUCCACGAGGGAGUAACUCCUCUAGGUAGGUAGCAGUUCUGAGGAUUACCAACAUCAACACUGUUAAGAGUUGUUGGAUUAACAAUCACAACUGUCAUGUUCAC
ensembl:lncRNA